AGGCGCGGAGACGGGGCGGCGGGCUUAGGAGGCGGAGCGGCGGGCGCUGGAACCCGAGAGGCCUCCGGUCCCGGGUUAGGCCGGGGGCAGGUGGAAAGCCCCUUGCUCUUCUUUCCCGGGAUGAUGGCCAAAUCCUGAGCGGCUGCUUAGUCCACGGAUUCCUGUCAGGGGCGCGUCCCGGCUCCCUUCACAGAGUGGAGAGCCCUUGGCUGAUCCUCGCCACCGGGCAGUGGGUCUUCCUCAGACCAGAAAGCCAACCUGCUUCGCCCUCUUCAAGCCUCAUGCCUGCGAAGAAGAAUGUACUAAGGCUGAGAAUGCACACAUUUUUGCCUGCUGAAUCCUGCCCUUCUCUAUAAACCAGCACCUCUGAUUCAUAAUCCAUAAGUACCUGCAAAUAUUGGACUAUGGCUUUAUACUAAGUGGGUCUGCACAACUCUCUGGAUCUACUUUUCUUCAUCUGUGAAUUGAGUGAUAUGCCGAUACACAGAGGAGAGACCAUGUGAAGACACAGGGAGAAGAUGGCCGUCUACAGCCAAGGAAAUAGGUCUCUGAAGAAACCAACCCUGCUGACACCUUGAUCUUGGACAUCUGACCUCCAGAAGUGUACCAAAAUAAAUUUUUGUUGUUUAAGUCAUCCUAUUGUGGUAUUUUGUAUGGCAGCCCUAAUAAACCAAUACAUACCUUA